GUGGUGCAUGUCCGUUCUUAGUUGGUGGAGCGAUUUGUCUGGUUAAUUCCGGUAACGAACGAGACUCUAGUCUAUUAAAUAGGUGCAUGGUUCUCUGCACCUUGCACCCUCCUCAGAGGGACAAGCGGCUACUAGCCGCACGAAACAGAGCAAUAACAGGUCUGUGAUGCGCUUAGAUGUCCGGGGCCUGCACGCACGCUACACUGAAGGAAGCAGCGUAUUUUUAUUCCUGUCUGUUAAGACAGUAAGCUUAGAAGAAAGUGGCUUGAGCAAAUAAUUGAAGUCCAUCGGAUUAGCCCCGAGCAAGUGUUCGUCUGUAUAAAUAACAGGGCACAGGAAU
rnacentral:ncRNA from 1 species